rnacentral:rRNA from 1 species
UACGGAGGGUGCAAGCGUUAUCCGGAUUCACUGGGUUUAAAGGGUGCGUAGGCGGAUUGGUAAGUCCGUGGUGAAAUCCCCGAGCUUAACUUGGGAACUGCCGUGGAUACUAUCAGUCUUGAAUAUCGUGGAGGUAAGCGGAAUAUGUCAUGUAGCGGUGAAAUGCUUAGAUAUGACAUAGAACACCAAUUGCGAAGGCAGCUUACUACGGAUUGAUUGACACUGAGGCACGAAAGCGUGGGGAUCAAACAGG